UACGUAGGGUGCGAGCGUUGUCCGGAAUUACUGGGCGUAAAGAGCUCGUAGGUGGUUUGUCGCGUUGUUCGUGAAAACUCACAACUCAAUUGUGGGCGUGCGGGCGAUACGGGCAGACUGGAGUACUGCAGGGGAGACUGGAAUUCCUGGUGUAGCAGUGAAAUGCGCAGAUAUCAGGAGGAACACCGGUGGCGAAGGCGGGUCUCUGGGCAGUAACUGACGCUGAGGAGCGGAAGCGUGGGGAGCGAACAGG
rnacentral:rRNA from 1 species